UACGAAGGGGGCUAGCGUUGUUCGGAAUUACUGGGCGUAAAGCGCACGUAGGCGGACAUUUAAGUCGGGUGUGAAAUCCCAGAGCUCAACUCUGGAACUGCCUUUGAUACUGGGUAUCUUGAGUAUGGAAGAGGUAAGUGGAAUUGCGAGUGUAGAGGUGAAAUUCGUAGAUAUUCGCAGGAACACCAGUGGCGAAGGCGGCUUACUGGUCCAUAACUGACGCUGAGGUGCGAAAAGCGUGGGGAGCAAACAGGG
rnacentral:rRNA from 1 species